AAGUCAUUUGAAUUUUCAUCCCUGAAGUUACUAAUCCUUCCAAUCUGCCCCUGCAAAUAUUAAUCAUUUGACUUUUGGUAAUGACAGCCCACCUCAGCAAAAAAACCUAAUUAUGACCAAAAGUUAAAUGAUUAAUAUUUGCAGGGCAGAUUAGAAGGAUUAGUAACUUCAGAGACGAAAAUUCAAAUGAACUA
rnacentral:pre_miRNA from 1 species